rnacentral:rRNA from 1 species
GACGAACGCUGGCGGCGUGCCUAACACAUGCAAGUCGAACGGGGUCCAUGGGAGCUUGCUCCCGGAAGACCUAGUGGCGAACGGGUGAGUAACACGUGAGAAACCUGCCCUGGAGUGGGGAAUAACUCGGGGAAACUCGAGCUAAUACCGCAUACCCUCGGAUGGUCGCAUGGCCGACCGAGGAAAGAUUUAUCGCUUCAGGAGGGUCUCGCGGCCUAUCAGCUAGUUGGUGGGGUAACGGCCUACCAAGGCAACGACGGAUAGCUGGUUUGAGAGAACGAUCAGCCACACUGGGACUGAGACACGGCCCAGACUCCUACGGGAGGCAGCAGUGGGGAAUCUUGCGCAAUGGGCGAAAGCCUGACGCAGCAACGCCGCGUGCGGGAUGACGGCCUCGUGGUUGUAA